GAUCUCCGCAUGAUUCCACCAAAAACUUCUCAAUACCUUCACGAUAUAAUGGAGCUGCAAUUUUUUUAGCCCUCGAGGAUGAAAAAUCAAUCACAGAAAGCAUCCCCCAUUUGUCCACAACAUAAAAUUGCCCUUUAUAAACUAUAAUAUCACAGUAAUAACAAAACCCACCAUUUACAAUGGUCCAAUUCUCAUCCCCAAAUCUCCAAUAACACAAUCUUCCAUGUCCAGAUUUUCUUCCAUGUUCAGUGAUCGCAAGAACUGUGCAAUCUUCAAUUUUAUUCCAAGCAAAAUCAGGGUAAACAAUCACUUUAUUUACCCUAAACAUCGUAUUCAGAUUGAAAGCCAUAAGAUCCCUUGGAAGUUCAGACCAAUUACAAGCUUCCCUAUCCAUCUUCGUUCUGGAGAUCAAGAAAUCCUAAACCUUUGUACCACUGAUUUUUCGCUUAUCGU
rnacentral:misc_RNA from 1 species